UGCUGCCAAUAACUAUGCCCG
rnacentral:misc_RNA from 1 species